UAACGCGAAGCCCUUACCUAAGCUUGACAUCCCUCGGACAGGUGUUUAAUCACACCCUUCCUUCGGGACUGAGGUGACAGGUGGUGCAUGGUUGUCGUCAGCUCGUGUCGUGAGAUGUUGGGUUAAGUCCCGCAACGAGCGCAACCCUUGUCUUUAGUUGCCAGCAUUCAGUUGGGCACUCUAGAGAGACUGCCAGGGAUAACCUGGAGGAAGGUGGGGAUGACGUCAAAUCAUCAUGCCCCUUAUGCUUAGGGCUACACACGUGCUACAAUGGGUGGUACAGAGGGUUGCCAAACCGUGAGGUGGAGCCAAUCCCUUAAAGCCAUUCUCAGUUCGGAUUGUAGGCUGAAACUCGCCUACAUGAAGUCUGGAGUUACUAGUAAUCGCAGAUCAGA
rnacentral:rRNA from 1 species